ACUGUGGUGAUGCUAACUGCGGUGAUGCUAACUGUGGUGAUGCUAACUGCGGUGAUGCUAACAGCGGUGAUCAGCAGCCGUUUUCCUCCUAACUGCUGGAGCCUCAGCCGCCUGUCAGCAGCAGAGCUGGAAGCAGCUUCAGCUCCUCGGAUCGUGAGAGAGGGUUAUUCCCCCUGAAGUCUGGCCAGCCGGGCCUGGACCCUGGUUCUGGCUCUGGCCCGGUGUGGGAUUCAGCUCAGAACCUGGAAAGAAGCAGGGAAUGAAAGCGGGGAAGCGUUCCAGCCGCUAACAGGAUAAUGUCUUCCAUGCGCAGGAAGAGCGAGCGGCCAACAUGGCCGGCCUCGCUCCAAGAACCCCGCUACAGGUCCGAGAUCGUUCACACGCCGAGACGUGUCGGCCCAGAACCACAGAGAGUUACAGCCCAGUGAGAGGAGGGUCGGAUCUGCUACCAGAACCGGUUCUGAUCCGACCACCAUGAGAACUGAAACAAGCAGAAGAAUCAGUUAUUGAACUAAUCAACUAAUUCAGGAAUCAAUUCGUCGUCACCUGGAGGAUCCAGAAUCUACAAAGAUCUUUAGCAACAAACUCAGCAGACAAGAAAACUGUUGAUAUCAAAACCUUCCUGGUCUGUAAAUCUGUUCUGCUGCUAAUCACCGUCAGCAUCUGGUUAUUGAUCAGCUAAUCAAUAAUUAAUCUCCAGAUCGUCCUGCUGCUGCAGCAGGAAGAAACUUCCUUCUCAGAUUUCAUGUUUUCAUCUGCGGGGCAGAAAACCUUCAGCUGCUCAGGAAUGAAGUUUUGUGUUUUACUGAACAGAACCUGCAGAUGUUCGGACCGCCGCGCUGAGAGGUUCUGCUGGGAUCCGGAUACGUCCAGGUCGGGUCCAGAGGGAAUCAGGAGUUCUCAGCUUCAUUCCAGCACAGAAACCCAUAAAUCAGCUGAUGGUUCUGGUUCUGUUUCUGAUCCGUCUCUGAUGAGAGGAUUUACAUUUUUGGGAAAUCUGCUGUUUUUAUUUAGUAAAACCGUGAGAAGGAACCAGAGCUGCUCAGGUUCUGGUUCUGGUUCUGGUUUGGUACUGAGCUCCUCUAGAAUACAGGUAUGAACUGAUUUAAUCUGGAUUUCCUCCAGAUUAUGUCCUGGUUUAAUCCAGGUUUCUAUCCUUGGGUUAUAAUCAGUAGUUCUGUCCUGGUUCUGGAUGACUUUAUGCUGAUAUUUGUAUUAUUUUUUUCCCCUAAUCCUGAUUCAAUCUGGAUUUGUACAGAUUAUUAAUCUGCUUUUGUGGCUUUCUGAUUUUUCCAUUUCAUCUUAGUCCUGGUUUUGUCUUGUUUUAAUCUUGGUUAUAUUCUAAGAUUUUUCUGUUUUCAGUUCUGCUCUAUUUAAAUAACAUCUAAUAAUUUUAUCCUGGUGGUUUUAAAUUGUCGUUUUCUCAGAUUUAAUCUGUUUAAUUUUAUUCUCCUAAUUCUGGAUUCCUGUUUUACCUGAAAAUUCUCCUGGUUUUAUUCCCAGUUGGCCUCAGGUAGCAGGCUAAAGGUCAAAGGUUAUGACACAUAAAGACUCUUCUCUCUAGAAACAAGAUGGCCGCCGGACGGAGGUUAGCAGAGCCGAGGCUUCUGGGAAAAAGUCCUCUGAAGGGAGGGAAGCAGAACCACUGUGAGCAGAGCGGUGGAGGAGUGGUGAUGCGGGAUUUGAUCUGAUCUGUUUGCAACAGAAGAUAAAAACCUUCAGAAUGAGACAGGUGAGCUUCAGGUGUUUCUGCAGGAAGUGGGCGGAGCCUAGCGGCUCAGAAACAGGAAAAGGAAUUUCACCAGAACCAAUCAGAUGCUUCAGAACCUCUGAUGUCACAUCAGCAAAACAAGAAAACAAUGUAGAAAAAUCAAAUCAAGCAGUUAAAGUCGUCUGAUAAUUAUUGUUUUUAUUUUUUUGUAGGUGAUUUUAUGUGUUUAUUUAAAAAUAAAUGUUUUAACAGAAAGUGAAAACUGGAUUCGGCUCUUUCCGCCACCUUUAGUUUAAUAAAAGGAAUUAAAGCUGAUUUGUCUGCAACAAACUCUGUUUUUCAGUGAACGUCUCUGGAAAAACCUGUUUCUGUUUAUUAUAAUAGAUUAGUUAU